UACGGGGGGGGCAAGCGUUGUUCGGAAUUACUGGGCGUAAAGGGCUCGUAGGCGGCCAACUAAGUCGGAUGUGAAAUCCCCAGGCUUAACCUGGGAACUGCAUCCGAUACUGGAUGGCUUGAAUCCGGGAGAGGGAUGCGGAAUUCCAGGUGUAGCGGUGAAAUGCGUAGAUAUCCGGAGGAAGACCGGUGGCGAAGGCGGUCUGCUGGGCAGUUUCUGACACUGAUGCGCGACAGCGUGGGGAGCAAACAGG
rnacentral:rRNA from 1 species